rnacentral:rRNA from 1 species
UACGUAGGAGGCGAGCGUUGUCCGGAAUCGCUGGGUGUAAAGCGCGUGUAGGCGGCCUGCCAAGUCUGCUGUGAAAGCGCCUGGCUUAACCGGGCGAGGUCGGUGGAAACUGGCGGGCUGGAGGACGGUAGAGGGAAGUGGAAUUCCCGGUGUAGUGGUGAAAUGCGUAGAUAUCGGGAGGAACACCAGUGGCGAAGGCGACUUCCUGGCCUGUUCUUGACGCUGAGGCGCGAAAGCUAGGGGAGCAAACGGG